rnacentral:misc_RNA from 1 species
CUACACAUCAACUUGCUAGGCAACUUUUAAUGGGUUGGUAUCAUCUCAUUGCAGGCAACUGGCUGUUUAUAAAACAAAUGUUUCACUAAUUCUAACCUUCCCUCCCCAGAGGUCGGGAGCACAAGGUUAAGAUCGUCAGAAAGCAUGUGGACUCAACUGAUAAAUUUAGACCACGAACUGUUAAGAAGAAUUUCAUCACAAAUCAAACACAUAUUCUAAAUUAAACUGUCCAUAAAACCUUUAAGGUUUCACUAUUUCGCUUUCAUCAAACCUUCACUUUUUCUCCAGAAAUGGAACAACCCAUACUAGUACUGGGAGAAGAAUAUAAGCAGAACUGUUAUGGGCAUCUUUGAACUACAACUGUCCUGUUUAUAUUCAGAAACAUUUUCACAUCAACAGAUGUCUUAACGUCAUAUCUAAUGAAGAGAUCAGUCUUUUCAAAAGCUUGUGGUACAUUCAAGAGAAUCACCCUUAGUUACUUACAAAUAAUAAUAAUAAUAAAAGGACUCAUAAUUAGGCUAUAAAAAGGGAAAAAGGCAGGAAAAAAUAAAGAGGAACCCCCACCUCAGCUGAUUCACAUCUAUAUAGGCAGAAAACUCAUCAUUGCUUCAUUUGUGCACAGCCUGACGCUUUGAGAAGUGAGGGGAAAGCGUCUUCUCCAACUCCACCAAACUGAAAUUUCAUAUAAAUAGCUAGUAAAGGAACUCCAAAUUUGAAAAUGCUAGGAUGAAAUCAAAUGACCAAAGAAAACAGAUUCACUUACAUCUGAUAUUUACGAAGAGCCUCAUUUUGUUUGGCCAAGUAUAAGUCACUAUCCUUAGUUAUAUUGUUCAAAGGAUUUCCUGCAGUAAACGUCUAAUUGAAUAUACACAUUCAAAGGCAAAUUUUGGGUCCAUUUAAAAUUGUUGUUUGAGCUGCUACUGUGAAAAGCACCACCUUAAAUAUAUUAGUUAGAGGCCAUUACAAUUGAGUUUAAGUUAAGUUUAACAUGUUUUAAUCAUAAAAACUUUCAAACAACUAAAUAGAGUUUUCAAACUAUUCUUCUUCUUCUUUUUUUUUUUAACAUCUAAUCUUAAAAACAAGUUGAACUACAAUCCCAAACAGGCCCUCACAUAUCCAAUCCAACAGUCCAACCACAAUUCACGUUUUCUAUGUCUUUUUGCAUCAUUUGAAUCAAGUCCACUCUGUUACUUAUAUCAACAAACUAGAGUCAUCCCCUUACAACAAGAUUUGAUUAAAACUUGAAAAGAACUUCAUGUCAUUUUUUCCCUAUUAUAUGAUGGAUCAAUUUUAUGUAAUGGAUCCAAUCUAUGGAAUGAAUAUGUGCCUUCAGAAGCCCAGGAAAAUGAAUAAUCUUCCAUUUUCAUAAAUGCAUAAAAACAGUCUUUGUAUUUAUGAAGGGCAUACUUGGAAGUGAUGAUGGCGCUUUAGAAUCCACAAUCUUCUGAACUUUAGGAGAGGUUGAUUUGUCAGUCUUCUGCAAUCCCUUCUUCCUUUCCCUCCUCUUUAGUAUCUUCAAAUGACACUUUUUAAUGUAGUGCAUCAAAUGGUAUCGAGUAUGCCUGGAGCAUAGCUGUUCUUUAACCUCUGGAUUUUCAGUUAACCAAUCAGAAAUAUCUUUAGACUUGACCACCUCAUCAUUAUCUAAAGAUUCCAACCAGGAGUAAACCGGUAGCCAUUGAUCUGUUCGUUGAAAUCGAGCAUGUGGAAGAUCAACCUGAGUCACUUCUGUUGCCUGAUUGGGCAACCUCAUGUAAUUUUGAAUUGCAAGGAGGCGAUCAAUGAGGUCUGCUCGAGGCAUGGACUGGAGGUCAGCCGGCAAGGAGCCACGGUUAGACUCGAUCCAAGCCUCGACCUCGAUGGUGCUCACGGCUUUGGCCUCGGGGAAUGCGCUGAGCCAAGCUCGGGCCAUGGUCUCCCAUUCUUGGGACUGAUUAGGGUUUUGAUCGCUGGGCCUGUGGUCUACCGCUAGGGUUUGUUGAUUUGAAUUCGACAUUCUAAUUAUUUUCCCUUUCGUGCCGCG